UUUUUUGAAGAGUUUGAUCCUGGCUCAGAGUGAACGCUGGCGGUGUGCCUAAAACAUGCAAGUCGAGCGAUCAGCGGUAGCAAUAUUGCUGGGAGCGGCGAACGGCUGCGUAACACGUGGGAACCUACCCCGGACUCAGGGAUAACCCCGCGAAAGCGGGGCUAAUACCGGAUGGCUCCAGCAUCCUUGGCAACAAGGGGCGCUGGAUAAAGAUUUUUCGGUCCGGGAGGGGCCUGCGGCCCAUCAGCUUGUUGGUAGGGUAACGGCCUACCAAGGCUAUGACGGGUAGCUGGUCUGAGAGGACGACCAGCCAGAAUGGAACUGCGACACGGUCCAUACUCCUACGGGAGGCAGC
rnacentral:rRNA from 1 species